AAUGAACGCUGGCGGCAUGCUUUACACAUGCAAGUCGAACGGUAACAGGCCUUCGGGUGCUGACGAGUGGCGAACGGGUGAGUAAUGCAUCGGAACGUACCCAGAGGUGGGGGAUAACGCAGCGAAAGCUGUGCUAAUACCGCAUGUGAUCUGAGGAUGAAAGCGGGGGACCGAGCAGCAAUGUUUGGCCUCGCGCCUUUGGAGCGGCCGAUGUCGGAUUAGCUAGUUGGUGGGGUAAAGGCCUACCAAGGCGACGAUCCGUAGCUGGUCUGAGAGGACGACCAGCCAGACUGGGACUGAGACACGGCCCAGACUCCUGCGGGAGGCAGCAGUGGGGAAUUUUGGACAAUGGGGGCAAGCCUGAUCCAGCAAUGCCGCGUGCGGGAAGAAGGCCUUCGGGUUGUAAACCGCUUUUGGCAGGAACGAAACGGUGUCCGCUAAUACCGGGCGCUAAUGACGGUACCUGCAGAAUAAGCACCGGCUAACUACGUG
rnacentral:rRNA from 1 species